GUAGGUGGCAAGCGUUGUCCGGAAUUAUUGGGCGUAAAGCGCGCGCAGGCGGUUCUUUAAGUCUGAUGUGAAAGCCCACGGCUCAACCGUGGAGGGUCAUUGGAAACUGGAGAACUUGAGUACAGAAGAGGAAAGCGGAAUUCCACGUGUAGCGGUGAAAUGCGUAGAGAUGUGGAGGAACACCAGUGGCGAAGGCGGCUUUCUGGUCUGUAACUGACGCUGAGGCGCGAAAGCGUGGGGAGCAAACAGGAUUAGAUACCCUGGUAGUCCACGCCGUAACGAUGAGUGCUAAGUGUUAGGGGGGUUUCCGCCCCCCUUGGUGCUGCAGCUAACGCAUUAAGCACUCCGCCUGGGAGUACGGCCGCAAGGCUG
rnacentral:rRNA from 1 species